CAGGCCUGCUUCCUGCACUGUAUCUUCUUUCUGCCACUUACUGUCUUCUGGCACAGACCAUAUAACUGCUAUUUCAAAAUGCUAUUGUUUCUGUCUUCUGAUUCUAACUCUCUCCCCGACAGCCCUUCUGAAAUGGGAAGCCAAUGCACCUGUCCCCCUGGAGUCUGCUGGCUGUUCGGAUAAACAUCCUGUUUCUUCAACCAUUUUGCUCCCCAUUAGGGUUGCUAGAUUUAGGAAAAGAUUUAUUAAGACAGGACAUCCAGGAAAUUUAAAUUUCAAGUAAUGAAUAAUUUUUUAGUGUUAAGUACAAUCUAUGCAGUAUUGGGGACAAUCUUAUAAUAAAAAUUAUGUGUUGUUUCUCUGAGAUUCAAAUUUAACUGAAUGUCCUCUAUUUUAUCUGAUAACCCCACCUACCCCCCUACCCCCACCCCCACCACAUCCUGGCUAACCUCUCUGGGGGGUGCUGGCAAAGUUUCAAGAACAUGGAGGGUCUCCUUUCAGUGCAGGGCGGCUUUAAUGGGCAGCCCCUAACCACCUCACCGCCUGCCUCACCCUGGCAGCCCGCAGGCUCCCCACCCUCACGCCUGUGGCCAGUUUAUGCUGGAGGAGGGGCGGCUCGUUCUCCGCACGGACCUUGUUCACUGUCUCUGGCUCCCAUUCCAGCCCCAGGCAGGUUGCUGAUCUCUCCACUCCUUGGUCACGCUGUUCAUUACCACCAUUCAGCCACUUGGCCUUUGUUUCUGGGCAUCUAGAACACAAUUUAUUCUUCUCUUCCACCCUUAAAUGGGGGCUCUGGGAAAGGAGCCAAGGAUUUGUGAAGGGUCCCUGAAAGCUCCACCUGCCCUGCCUGCCUCCUGCGGCUGGCCUCACACCUGUAGGGUGGAUGUGACCUGCUCCACGCCACAGGCAGUGGCUCCUGGACUCUCCCCAAGAAGUCCUCUGCUGAAGAAGGAAGCCAUCUGAAAAUCCCAGCCAUGGCCCCCAUGGGCCUGUGUUCACGGCCCACUCUGUACCAGCAGAAAGCUCAGUCAGCACCUCUGUCCACUCCGGGGCUGCAGAGGAGACAAAUGACUUUUACACUGUUGCAGAGCAAACAGAAGCUCGGUAUGGACCCAGUUGCAUAGGCAAUGCUGUGAAGUUUUCCCAGCUCUUUCAGGGCCUCUGGGAGCUGGAAAGUCUUUGGGUCCCUAAGGAAGGGAGUUCAAUGGCGGAAGGGAGCCGGGGAGACUGUGGGCCAGGGAUCGUCCACAGCAAACAUGCAGACUUUAAAAAAAUGAAGACACUCUCCAUAAACUGAUAUAGAGUGAUUCAGGAUUUGUUGGACAAAGGAAGCAGAGCUGUCCUGCUGAGGAGACUGUGAGAAGGAGAUGAGACGAAGGGGGAAGUCGUUUAUCUUCCCAGCCUCUCCUGCUUGGGGGAUUUUUCUGGCGUGUGACGGAGGAAGAGGAAGCCAACACGAGAGCCUUGGAGGAGGAGGGCUCUGUAGCUCCUGUCCCUAGUACCGCUCUGCCCCUGUCCCCCAGCCACCUGCCUCUAAUCUAUUUAACGCCUCUUCAUUGCUGUUUUUGCGGGUUUUUUUAAUAACUUUUCUCAGCUCAGGUCCCCGGGGCCUUCUUGGUGAAUGAAAAGCUCUCAGGGUCUCAGUCGCAGUAGCCCCUGGUGCUGGCUGGGCUGUUCCCCUGGAGGGGACACAGCUUCAAGGUCAGGCUGACGCCAGCUGACCUUGAAAGCUUCCCGUGCCUCCCCUGACGUGCCUCCACGCUCCAAGCUCAGUGAGCUCCAUCACAUUAAAAAGCUGUUAAAA